rnacentral:rRNA from 1 species
UACGUAGGCAGCGAGCGUUGUUCGGAGUUACUGGGCGUAAAGGGUGUGUAGGCGGUUAUUUAAGUUUGGUGUGAAAUCUCCCGGCUCAACCGGGAGGGUGCGCCGAAUACUGAAUGACUUGGAGUGCGGGAGAGGAAAGUGGAAUUCCUGGUGUAGCGGUGAAAUGCGUAGAUAUCAGGAGGAACACCGGUGGUGUAGACGGCUUUCUGGACCGUAACUGACACUGAGGAACGAAAGCCAGGGUAGCAAACGGG